AACGGUUAGUGGAAAAACAAGGCGAGUCGUGUAGGUCUAGCUACCAGAGUAGCUGAGAAUCACCAUGUGAUUAAAAGAGUUCUAGGUUAGCUAGCCCUGUAGAGUGUAGGCAGAUCAAACAGCUAGAUAACCGGCUUGUUUUUAAACUAAAAUUUCAAAAUAAACAUAUUUACAGUUAAAGGGACACUCCAGUACCAGGAAAACAAACCAUUUU